rnacentral:rRNA from 1 species
AUUGAACGCUGGCGGCAUGCCUUACACAUGCAAAUCGAACGGUAACGGGCCUUCGGGUGCCGACGAGUGGCGAACGGGUGAGUAAUACAUCGGAACGUGCCCGAUCGUGGGGGAUAACGAGGCGAAAGCUUUGCUAAUACCGCAUACGAUCUACGGAUGAAAGCAGGGGACCGCAAGGCCUUGCGCGGACGGAGCGGCCGAUGGCAGAUUAGGUAGUUGGUGGGAUAAAAGCUUACCAAGCCGACGAUCUGUAGCUGGUCUGAGAGGAUGAUCAGCCACACUGAGACUGAGACACGGCCCAGACUCCUACGGGAGGCAGCAGUGGGGAAUUUUGGACAAUGGGCGCAAGCCUGAUCCAGCCAUGCCGCGUGCAGGAUGAAGGCCUUCGGGUUGUAAACUGAUUUUGUACGGAACGAAAAGCCUUCUUUUAAUACAGGAGGGUCAUGACGGUACCGUAAGAAUAAGCACCGGCUAACUACGUG